rnacentral:snRNA from 1 species
AUAUUUACCUGGCAGGGGAGAUAACAUGAUCGUGAAGGGGGUUUUCUCAGGGCAAAGGUUACCCAUUGUACUCCAUAUGUGCUGACCCCUGUCAUUUUCCCAAAUGCUGGAAAUUCGACUGCAUAAUUUGUGAUGGUGGUGAAAUA